GUGGGUGCUUUACCUGAGUCUAUCUCUGAAGGUCUGGCUUCUAACUAUAACAACUAUCAAGUCGCCUUCGCUACUCUCUUUCUUCUUUUUGGAUUGAAAGCGCGUACUCUCUUCCAAAGAACAUGAACUGAAAGCAGCAAGCUUUUGCCCUUGCGCCAGAGGAAUGGAAAGAAACAUAUUCUAUUUGAUCUCUAAGUCCGUACAUAGCAAUCCNNNN
rnacentral:lncRNA from 1 species